CCUACGGGAGGCAGCAGUGGGGAAUAUUGGACAAUGGGCGAAAGCCUGAUCCAGCAAUGCCGCGUGAGUGAUGAAGGCCUUAGGGUUGUAAAGCUCUUUUACCAGGGAUGAUAAUGACAGUACCUGGAGAAUAAGCUCCGGCUAACUCCGUGCCAGCAGCCGCGGUAAUACGGAGGGAGCUAGCGUUGUUCGGAAUUACUGGGCGUAAAGCGCGCGUAGGCGGCGAUUCAAGUCAGAGGCGAAAGCCCGGGGCUCAACCCCGGAACUGCCUUUGAAACUAGAUUGCUAGAAUCUUGGAGAGGUCAGUGGAAUUCCGAGUGUAGAGGUGAAAUUCGUAGAUAUUCGGAAGAACACCAGUGGCGAAGGCGACUGACUGGACAAGUAUUGACGCUGAGGUGCGAAAGCGUGGGGAGCAAACAGGAUUAGAUGCCCUGGUAGUCCACGCCGUAAACGAUGAUAACUAGCUGUCCGGGCACUUGGUGCUUGGGUGGCGCAGCUAACGCAUUAAGUUAUCCGCCUGGGGNGUACGGUCGCAGAUAAACUACAAGAAGUAGACGCGNGAGACGUGCCGACGACGACGACGAGGGAGUAGG
rnacentral:rRNA from 1 species